ACACUGGCCUCCUCGAGCGCGCCGCCCGCGCCCAGCGCCCCACGCCCCGCGCCCCGGGCCGUGCAGCCAGCCCUUACCUUGCAGCGCCCGGCUGUCUCCCGAUCGCUAAAGCUACUUAUCCCGGGAAAGCUCGCGCGGGACCCGGGAACGAACCCACAGACAAAAAGUGAAACUUCGGCAGGGCUGGAGCGGCUGCUGGUUGGUGCCUUUCCCCCUCCUUCCUCCCCACCGUCCCCACCCCCUCCCCUUGGUCUCCCGUGCGGUGCCCUGAGCGCUGGAGGCUGACGUCAGGGGCCUGAAUUCCUGACUUUGCCUGCACGCAUUUGUCCAUGUAAGGUAUGGGAAGGCGUGUGCCCGCGAAGCCGCCGCGCAGAGCUCGCCUGGCGGGGGAGGGGAAACCCGCAGCCGGCAGUGGCUUUGCCAAAAGGUGGGCGCACUGAGGGCAUUGCAUUUCCUGGGAGGAAGAGGAGGAGACGCGGGAAUGCAGGGAGCUUGCAAAGGAGGAAGAGAAAGAGGGAGAUGUGGAGACUUUGCCCCUGCUAGAGGAAGAGGAAGGAGACGUAGGAGGAAGCGGCCGCGUCAGGGGGCUCCUGGAAAAUGGAAAAGCCUGCGUCUACUAUUAAGGCGUCAAAUUAGGGCACUGAGCUUGAGUGGAAGAGAUCCAGCCAUGAAAUCCCCUUCCAAGAUUUUCCUCGUGAGCCCCGCCCUGGAUUCCCAGCAAGACUCAAAACUUACAAGGUGUCAGAGCUGGCAAAGACCAACUUCCAACCCGUCCGCUUGGCACGUGAGGAAACUGAAGCUCUCGGAAGAGAAAUGACUUGUACAGGGUCGUCACUCAGCAGAUCGAGGAGCGGGCCCAGGCGCUCUGCCUCCCACUUGGGUUCCCGCCUCCAGGAAGGGCCCUGGCUCCCUUUUAGCCCUGAGCCUUGAAGCAGGUUAGAUGCCCGCGAGCUGUGCGGACCACCCAGUGAUUUCUACUGCUCUUGGCCCAGAGCCAGUUCCUGGAAGGUCCUGGUUGACAGCGAGCCCUGAAUAUCAAUGACAAUCAGUUGCUUCAGGGCAACUUCCUCUGUCCUGUGCUCAAAUAAAUGAAUCCCUGGAGUUUAACGUUUACUUCUGAGCCCCGCCCAGAAAGCUUGCUCUGUGCUUAUAGCUUCAAAAAAGUCUGCGAACGAGAUGAACUGGUUUGAAUACAGACAAGCCUGUCAUUGGAAGUUUUGAGUUGGAUUUUUCUUUCCCCUCUGACAUCUGUAAGGGUGAACGACGAUGAGAACCACCACUUAACUGUGUUAGGGGAUUAUGACGCGCAGCAGCCAUGGCCAGGAAAGCAUUCCAUACCCUGAGACUUCCUUUCCUUGCACUUCUCUCCUAUUAAUAUCUAAAGUAAUCCCUCACGUUAGCACAUAAUGAAAGCAGUCUCUCACCCGGCUAUUGCAUCUUCAGCAGCCAAGGCAGUACCUGGCACUUGCAACCAAAUGCACUCUAGCCUGGUUGACAGAGCAAGACUCUGUCUCAAACAAACAAACAAACAAACAAACUAGCAUGGAGAGGGACACAAGAGAGAAAUGUUUAUGGUCCUUGCCUUACCCUAAAUUACUGUGCAACCUUUUGGCAAGUCACUUCCUCUCUAUUCUGAGUUUCUUUAUCUAUUCAAUUGGGUUCUUAGAUUUGGUGGUCUCUAACACUCUCCCAGUUUUUCAAUUUGAUGUUACAUUCUACCCAGUGACCAAAUUCAUAUUCCAGAAGCAUAGUAUGCUAUGUCAUACCGCAAAUCUUGUAAACGUUCCUGAUAUGGUUUGGCUGUGUCCCCACCCAAAUCUCAUCUUGAAUUGCAGUUCCCAUAAUCCACACAUGUAACAGGAGGGACCAGGUGGAGCUAAUUGAACCAUGGGGGCGAUCUCCCCCCACCUGUUCUUGUGAUAGUGAGUUAGUUCUCAUGAGAUCUGAUGGUUUUAUAAGGGUCUUUCCCCUUCACUGGGCACUCAUUCUUCUGCCUCCUGUUGCCACAUGAGGAAGGACAUGUUUGCUUCCCCUUCUGCCAUGAUUGUAAGUUUCCUGAGGCCUCCCAGCUAUGCUGAACUGAGAGUCAAUUAAACUUUUUUCCUUUAUAAAUUUCCCAGUCUUGAGUAUGUCUUUAUUAGCUGUGUGAUAAUGGACUGAUAGGGUUCAAUAAUAUCAACCAAAUUAAGUUCAUACCCUGCAGCUUCCCCUUCCUCAUUUCAUGAUCAAAUCCUGAUGGCCUUUUCCAACUAUAAGUUGUACCUCCAACACCCCCUCCUCCACCACACACAUACACACACACACACACACACACACACACCACUUCCUUUACUUCCUGCCUCUGGGCUUUUGCACGUUUAGUUUUCUCCUCUUGAACCUAAAAGACUUUCCAGGGCCAUCUCUGAAUCUGCAGAUUCUACAUGUCCAGCCAACCCCCUCCCAUUGCCCAUUCCUUCCAAACUCCCUCCAUUAAUAUGAAAAUAACUUCUCUAUUUUCUCAAAAAGAUACCCAUCUCAUUAUCCCAAUGCAUUACAACUUUUCAUCAGUGUGUUUGAUCUCCUCCAUGCAAAUAUAGGAUUC
rnacentral:lncRNA from 1 species